GAGGAAUCAGGGAAUAUAGAUAAACAGGGUUAGAUUAUGAACACUAAGUUUGGUCUUUUAACAUUUCUGUCAUUUGUAGACCAACACUGAGCAACUGAAAAUGUGGACCUGAGGAAAUUCAGAGACAGAUGCUGUUGAGUGGCCUGAAGUCCUGAGGGGGUGGCUGCUGGUGCAAGUGCUCUCUGAACUGUCUUGGCCUCUGUUCUGUUCAGCCCUGCUAACAGUGACAUUGAACAAUACCACGGAUGGACUGUGAUGAGAACUGAGCCUUAGCUCACAUAUUCUUGGCCUCUUACGUUGCAAAUGGGAGAUCAAAUACAAGAAGACGAAAUAAAAUAAAGAAGAGUGGUGCACUUUAAACCUCAAUGAGCCACACAAAGAAGUAUUUAUUUAAUAACAUCAGGUGUGCAGAAGUCUUCAGGUUUCAAUUGAUGAGGAGACUAACAGUGUUCAACAGACUGACAUUGUUUUUCCAAAGGACUAAUGUGGCCCCAAAUCACCUUACUGAAGUCUACUACCCAGAUUACAGGAGGCAACAUUGCAAAACCUACAGUACAAGACACCUACAUGAGCCAGAUCCUAUCCAGAAAAUGAGCUAGAUGUUGAAGUCUUAGUAACUCAGUCAUACAGGAAAUAGUGAAAUAACUAGAAAUAAUUUUCACGGUUCACCAGUUUUUGAUCUGCCACUGAGACCUGCCAAGCCCUUAAUCUGCAACAUGAAGCAGUAGAAUUCAUCACUUAGAUUGACAAAACAAGUUUCAGGUUUUUUUUUUUUUUUCCAUUUUAUAUUUUCUAGCCCUUUG